GUGAUAUUAUAGGAGCUGUUGGGAUGGUUGGCCUUAGAUAUGUGACCCCGGAGGAGCAUGAAUAAGAGUGUUAAUACGGGGAUACGUCGUUUUUUAAUUCAACGAACCUUUUCUACAAGACCGUUUGUCACUGUGGGGCAAUUAAGGAAACAAGGCGAGGGUGAUUCCAACAUUUCCAAGCCAGAUUGCGUCUUUUUCCCCUUGCUGUUUUCUUAGUCCAGAUUCCAGCCAAAAGGAAUUACAUUCUUGGAGAUGUUGGAAAAAGAUUCCUGGGACUUCAAAGAUAAUCACUCAAAUAUACAGGGGAGG